rnacentral:lncRNA from 1 species
ACUUUCCCUUUUGCGCCGCGCUCUGUCUUCUCCGCGCUCGCGGGCCUGACCCUAGCGGCAUCCCCAGUACCUUGAUCCGGCGGGGGGCGCGCCACAGGAGAGCCAGGAGGGCGGGAGAUCCCCGUACGAGGACCGGGCUGAGGCGAGGCAGUGGGGGAAAUGGAGCCGGGGUAUCAUUCAUUCUAUUUUAUUUAACUUUAAGCAGGGCUUGAUCAGAAAGAAGAGCUCAGAGGAGUGAGAGAGGUGUGGCAUGGAGAACCAGGGGUUUUCCCUAGCAGAGGGCGGCUUCGUGGACUUCGGCCAACCGGCGGGUGCUUCCCUCGAG